rnacentral:rRNA from 1 species
AUACAAGGCAUACGGCUCAGUAACGCGUAGUCAACCUAACCUAUGGACGGGAAUAACCUCGGGAAACUGAGAAUAAUGCCCGAUAGAACAUUAUGCCUGGAAUGGUUUAUGUUCCAAAUGAUUUAUCGCCGUAGGAUGGGACUGCGGCCUAUCAGUUUGUUGGUGAGGUAAUGGCCCACCAAGACUAUUACAGGUACGGGCUCUGAGAGGAGUAGCCCGGAGAUGGGUACUGAGACACGGACCCAGGCCCUAUGGGGCGCAGCAGGCGAGAAAACUUUGCAAUGUGCGAAAGCACGACAAGGUUAAUCCGAGUGGUUUCUGCUAAAGAAACCUUUUGUCAGUCCUAGAAACACUGAUGAAUAAGGGGUGGGCAAGUUCUGGUGUCAGCCGCCGCGGUAAAACCAGCACCUCAAGUGGUCAGGAUGAUUAUUGGGCCUAAAGCAUCCGUAGCCGGCUCUGUAAGUUUUCGGUUAAAUCUGUACGCUCAACGUACAGGCUGCCGGGAAUACUGCAGAGCUAGGGAGUGGGAGAGGUAGACGGUACUCGGUAGGAAGGGGUAAAAUCCUUUGAUCUAUUGAUGACCACCUGUGGCGAAGGCGGUCUACCAAAACACGUCCGACGGUGAGGGAUGAAAGCUGGGGGAGCAAACCGGAUUAGAUACCCGGGUAGUCCCAGCUG